CCCAACGCUCCCUCAGAAAAAAAACGACCCAACGCACGCCCCAUCCCUCGUCCCACAAUCCCUGGCCUCCUCACCUUUCUUUGCCCGAUGGGGCUUCAGUGUGGCGGCAGCGUCGACCGCCGGCAGCACCGCCUGGAUCUCCUAGCGCCAGCACCUGCCCCAUCGUCCGCGACCUAUCCACUCCAACGCGCGGUAAGCGCGCCGCGGUCGCCAGGCUCGCCACCGCCUUGUCGCCGACGUCCCGAUCCAUUAUGCCAGACGGGAGACAGAUAGGGAGCGGCCGAGCUCUCCGCCGAGGAAGAGAGAUGACCGUCGUCCCUUGGUCUAGGCCUGCCCAGAAGCACACAUCAUGGAGGGCAAUUGUUGAUCCCACGAUCUCCAUUGAGGCCCAGCGCAUGUCCUAGAAUAUGUGUGCCUUGGGUAGGAGGUGCAAUUCGAUGAACUGCACACCUGAACGCAGCACUCGUGCAAAGAUGCAACAUCUUGGUCGGCUGCUCGCGGCGGAGCGUGCGGCUGGUGCUUGCAGCAGUGGCAGAGCAGCGUCAGCGAGCGCGGCGCAAGCAGUGGCCAGAGCUGCAUGGGCAGCUGCAAGCAUGCCAUCCAGGCAUCACUUCAAGUAUGACAAUGUCCACUCUACACCAAGAUAUUAGUCAGUUGGGAGAUGAGGUGGUUUGCCAGAUAAGAAAUAGAGUAAGGACAAGAAGGAGCUUUAAUUGGGUCAUGUCAUGGUGAACCUGGAGCACAGAAUUUUACAGGAGAUGGUCAUGAUAAAACAGGGUGCUUAAGAUCUAGGGAAGUAUAACAUUUUUUUUUAAAGCAAAGUAAAACAAAUUUACUUUCUGGGUCUAAUUUAAUUUUUCUAUGUUCAUAAUCUCUUGCGUGAAUAGAUAGACCAAGCCGAGCAGGGCAUCAACUAUCUACUCAUGCUUUGGUUCAUUUUCUUGGAGUAUUUGUGUUCUUAAAUUCUUAAUCUUGGUUUUCACUCGUUUGUGCUCUAUCCUCUCAAUCCAGUUACGUAUGCAAUCCUCAAUGAGGAUAAUUUUUUUUCUGAAUCACUUAGCAGCCUCUGCAUCCUUCUGCCUUAGUCUGAUCAAUUUUUCCCACUAUGCCGUUUUUUUUGCCAACAUAUUGGAACGAAGGUGUCUCCAUGUCAAACAUGCAUCCGUUGAAAAUUUGGUGUCAACCAGUUUUUGGAGGAUUGCAUCAAUGUUCCUCAUAUUUCUAAUAUUAGGAUAUUAGAAAUCCCCUUUUCCCUACAAUGUUUAUCUUUUCGUUCUUUUAGAUAAUGCCAAUUUUUUUGGUGCCAGUGCCCAGUUGUGUAUAUUCUUGGACCUUUUACAUUUGAUAUUAACAAUCCAAAACUUAACACGUUUCUAGCCUUCUAGAGGAACUUGCAUUUAAUGUUAUCAAUUUUCUUGCAGCAAACUUCAAAGUUCUUGAUACUUUUGCUUGCACUUAUUUUCCACAGGCUCACAUAUUUUAGUGUUGUGCAGUUUAGAUGUCAAUAUGAUGGCCAUUUCUUUUACGGGUAAGGCAAGAGAUCCGUCUGCUGCUACUACAAUCGGCCGCUGCACUACGCUGGCUGAGGCCACACGUCAUCACCUACCCCACCAUGCUGCACCUUUGGAUUGCUGGCUGCCGAGGCCGACACCAUCUGUCGCCCCUUAACACUUUUUUAAAAUCAUGGAAAAUCUCUUGGUUUCUUUACCAUGUUGUAAUUUGUUUCUAUGCUUUACAUUUUAUUGCGUCAUGCCUCCAGGACCCUGUUUUCUAAACUACAGUUGCAUUAGCAUGAGGCUCUUCUGUAAUAUGCAGGACUACUUCCAAACAACAUACUCCCUCUGUCCGGAAAUACUUGUCAUCAAGAUGAAUAAAAGGGGAUGUAUCUAGACGUAUUUUAGUUCUAGAUAUAUCCCUUAUCCAUUUUGAUGACGAGUAUUUUUGGACGGAGGGAGUACAAAUUCUUCUAGAUGUCCUCAAACUUUCUAUUUCCAAUGCAUAGAACCCAAACAUAUGCUUUUCGGAUGUCUCAGGUAUGGAAUUAAUCACUACUACAAGCUUUGUCUACACUUCAUAAGUUAUAUGGAGCAAGUUGAUCUUUAGAAGAAUAACAUGUGAAAUUCAACUUUUGGAUUUGUUGAAUUAAUAUGAAUGUAGCAUUCUUCCUUCUUGACCAAUAGGUGCUCGAGUUCUUUGUCUAAUGUGGGUACUGAAUAUAAGUGAGUCCUGUUGUAGCAUAUGAAAGGAGCCUUGAUUGUUGAGGAUUUCACAACUUUAUUAGAUCUUUUAUCAUGAUAUAUUAAAUAACUUGCUGCUAUGAUCUGGGAGCAGAUUGUUGCUUUCAUUGGUGAGCCAAUCAAGCAAUUGGAAUAACUAUAAAUUUUCGUUAAUUGCACUCUAGGUUAUCUGCUAUCGGAUUGUUCAUACAACGUGCCACAGCCACUUCUGCAGGUAAUAUGCUAGCAUGUCUUCUGAUUAGUUUAGCACAUGGAUUGUCAAAGUUUUUUCUGCCAUGUUGCUUGAUAGUUUUAGCCCAUUGGAUUUUCACGUGCUCGCUUGUGAGAUGUGAUA